AACGAACGCUGGCGGCAGGCUUAACACAUGCAAGUCGAACGGGUGUAGCAAUACAUCAGUGGCAGACGGGUGAGUAACACGUGGGAACCUUCCUCGUUGUACGGAACAACUCAGGGAAACUUGAGCUAAUACCGUAUACGUCCGAGAGGAGAAAGAUUUAUCGGAAUGAGACGGGCCCGCGUCGGAUUAGCUAGUUGGUAAGGUAACGGCUUAACAAGGCGACGAUCCGUAGCUGAUCUGAGAGGAUGAGCAGCCACACUGGGACUGAGACACGGCCCAGACUCCUACGGGAGGCAGCAGUGGGGAAUCUUGGACAAUGGGCGCAAGCCUGAUCCAGCCAUGCCGCGUGAGUGAAGAAGGCCUUCGGGUUGUAAAGCUCUUUUGUCAGGGACGAUAAUGACGGUACCUGAAGAAUAAGCCCCGGCAAACUUCGUGCCAGCCGCCGCAGUAA
rnacentral:rRNA from 1 species